GCUGGUCAAUGAUACUCGAACAUGUACUUAUUUUGAGUGCUUAUUUAUUUUCUAUUGGUAUCUAUGGAUUGAUCACGAGAGAUAGGAAGAGACGUC